AAAAGGUAAGCUACUAAGAGCGAAUGGUGGAUGCCUUGACUGGUAAAGGCGAUGAAGGACGUACUAGACUGCGAUAAGCUACGGGGAGCUGUCAAGAAGCUUUGAUCCGUAGAUUUCCGAAUGGGGCAACCCAAUGUAUAGAGAUAUACAUUACCUAUAUAGGAGCGAACGAGGGGAAUUGAAACAUCUUAGUACCCUCAGGAAAAGAAAUCAAUAGAGAUUGCGUCAGUAGCGGCGAGCGAAAGCGCAAGAGGGCAAACCCAGUGCUUGCACUGGGGGUUGUAGGACUGCAAUGUGCAAGAGCUGAGUUUAGCAGAACAUUCUGGAAAGUAUAGCCAUAGAGGGUGAUAGUCCCGUAUGCGAAAAACAGAGCUUAGCUAGCAGUAUCCUGAGUAGGGCGGGACACGAGGAAUCCUGUCUGAAUCCGGGUCGACCACGAUCCAACCCUAAAUACUAAUACCAGAUCGAUAGUGCACAAGUACCGUGAGGGAAAGGUGAAAAGAACUGAGGUGAUCAGAGUGAAAUAGAACCUGAAACCAUUUGCUUACAAUCAUUCAGAGCACUAUGUAGCAAUACAGUGUGAUGGACUGCCUUUUGCAUAAUGAGCCUGCGAGUUGUGGUGUCUGGCAAGGUUAAGCAAACGCGAAGCCGUAGCGAAAGCGAGUCUGAAUAGGGCGCUUAGUCAGAUGCUGCAGACCCGAAACGAAGUGAUCUAUCCAUGAGCAAGUUGAAGCUAGUGUAAGAACUAGUGGAGGACUGAACCCAUAGGCGUUGAAAAGCCCCGGGAUGACUUGUGGAUAGGGGUGAAAGGCCAAUCAAACUUCGUGAUAGCUGGUUCUCUCCGAAAUAUAUUUAGGUAUAGCGUUGUGUCGUAAUAUAAGGGGGUAGAGCACUGAAUGGGCUAGGGCAUACACCAAUGUACCAAACCCUAUCAAACUCCGAAUACCUUAUAUGUAAUCACAGCAGUCAGGCGGCGAGUGAUAAAAUCCGUCGUCAAGAGGGAAACAACCCAGACUACCAGCUAAGGUCCCUAAAUCUUACUUAAGUGGAAAACGAUGUGAAGUUACUUAAACAACCAGGAGGUUGGCUUAGAAGCAGCCAUCCUUUAAAGAAAGCGUAAUAGCUCACUGGUCUAGUGAUUUUGCGCGGAAAAUAUAACGGGGCUAAAGUAAGUACCGAAGCUGUAGACUU
rnacentral:rRNA from 1 species